AGAGUUUGAUCCUGGCUCAGAUUGAACGCUGGCGGCAUGCCUAACACAUGCAAGUCGAGCGGCAGCGCGGGGCGGACCUCGCGGCGAGCGGCGGACGGGUGGAGUAAGGACGAUCGGAAGUACUGCCCUCGAUGUGGGGGAGUAACGUAGGGAAACGUUAACGUCUAAUACCGCAUACGACCGAGAGGUGAAAGACGGGGACCGGAAACGGACCUCGCGCUGAAGGAGCGGCCGAUGUCCGAUUAGCUAGUU
rnacentral:rRNA from 1 species